AGUGUCGAGACGGAGCUUGAGAGCGGCCCCGGGCCUCCAUCCUGUGCUGGUGCAAUCGCUGCCCCCCGUUAUUGUUUACAGCGCCAGGUCAACAUUUUUUAUCAGUUUUCUGAGAUCUUUGCCUCAGAGGUAAUGUGCCCUAGGACAUAAAUGUUUAGAAGAAAAAAAAAACCUAGAUAAUUCUGGAAAGUGUUCUGAAGUUUACCAUUUAUUUUUCUGUUAUUUACUUUUGUUUUCAGGAGCACAGGCUAUCACUCACGGCCCCUCCUGGAGACUCUAGGACUUGAGGCGUUUGGCCCCAUUCUCCUGUUUGUUUCUUUUCCUCUUGCAGGAUUUCAGUCACGAUUUCUUAGACGUCCACUUAAUGAACACUUCUCAACUCUUCUGCUAAGUAUUCCCCUGCCCUCUGCCCUCUGCCCCCUGCCCCCUGCCCCGAGAGUGACAUGGGUUUAAAAUGAAAACUAAGACAGAGUUUUGAGUGACCCUAGGAAGCACCGGGCCUGGGGCAGAUCUGUGGUUCCCUGCCCUGCCCUUACCCCAUCCACAGGUCUUUCUAUUUAAGUCAAACUUCAUAUAAAUGACUAUCAAAAAUAUCCUUGAAGGGAAAAAGCAAACUUCUGGAAGGUCAGCCUGGGAGUUGUGUGUGGAUAGGACAGGGAUGACAUCAGAGAUUUUUGCCUUGGAAAUAGAGAAGGAGGGAACAGCUCCACGAACCAACGAUGUAUGUGAAUUAGACUCAAGAAAACGGAAAUAAUUAAAUGCACCGCUAGGCAGAGCCGCCGGUGUUCUGCCAUCCUUCUCACCCACUAAAGCCCUGAGUGACUGACUCUUCGAGCCCCUCCCCAGAUGUGCAGUGGUCGCCCAUGUCACCUGAGCUGAGGGAGGACCACCACGUUCUUCACUUAUGUCAGAGGGGAUGCCUGUCACCUCCCGAUCUCAUCCAAAAGCACUGCGGCCUCUGCUGUUUUACAGUCUUUCCAAAGAUGUUUAGCCUGAAUCUUACUGUGAGCGACAGACUCAAACGACUCCUGAUGGAGGGGCAGGGAUGUUUGCAUGUGUUCGUGCACAAAAGUGCAAAAUGUGAAGACAUUCACCGAGUCUAGUAAACAUUACCAGGAUUAUAUUACUUUUUCAAUUUUUCUGUAGGUUCAACAUUUUUCACAAAUCACAAGGUGCACCUCUGACAUGAUGCUCAGUCUGUUGUGUUCAGCAGUCCACGGAUUAACCAUGAUAUUCAAAAAUUUUUCACGCAUUGAUACUUGACACAGGAAAUAAAACAGAUUAUUAAACCAGUUUUUAGCAAAUUUGGAGGUUCUUUAUGAAAAACUAAAUUCCUUUUAACAGGAAACAGUCCCUCAAAGGAAAAUAAUACUGUGUCCAAGACAUCAACUUCCUCACGAAGAGAAUUCAGAGAAAGUUCUUCCAACCAUGAUGACAAGUCCUGUCCAAACUCCCUCAUGGAGACGCGAAGAGUCCUCGCAGUCAACCGAGCCAGAGCAGGCGGAGCACAAGGCGGCAGGUUUUCAGCGGGAAGCCCCCUCUCCACAUAUGGGAGGUGCUCAGGAAUAAUUUUAUGAACUGCAUUACUGAGGAAGCUCCUGAGACUCAGAGAAGUUGAGUGAUCCGCUGAGGGUCCCAUGUUUGAUACGUGAUCAAGCUGAGGUUCAAAUCCAGACGUCAACCUCAGACCCCACACCCACGAUCAUUCCAGCCACCACCUCCAAGUUCUACAUACAAGUGGCAACCAGCAGCCCAGGACAGGAAAGUGAGUCAAGACACUUGUGCGCAAGCCACAAACAACAUGACAAAGAGCAGAAGGAGGAGGUAUAACUUCCACGUUCUCCAUUUGUGUUCCAGACAGAAAACUCAAAUAUGGG
rnacentral:lncRNA from 1 species